GUAGUUAUUCUGUUAGUAAGUCUAACCCACUCGCUCAAAGUGUCUGGUCACUAUUGGGUUAACUCUCCGCGAGUUCUUUCUUUAGGACCUGUCGGCACCUGUACUGACGUCAGAGCCGAGCCUCCGCUCGUUAGAGUGACGGAAAAGCGCGAAGGAGAAGCAAAGAGAGUCACGCGUGUGUUUGGGGAGACCGAGAGCUCGGAGAAAACUGUCCAAAAAGAGAGGAAAAGUGUGUUCGUUGGCAGAGCCGGAUACUUGUUGAUGUAGCUUUGAAACUCCGGCUGUUUCUUUGCUGUGCUGAGCGUGUGAAGAAGCGAUGGCGAACCAGACCCGCGGAAGACUGGCCAGGGUCCUCACGGAGAAGUCAUCUCACAGCACCUGGGAUUUCCAGAGUUUGGACACGGCUUUGGAGUCGACCAGUUUGAAGAUGCCCUUCUCCCUCUGCAUCCACUUGAUGUACCUGGGACAUGUGUUUUUGUCCUGCAGCAGUUCCAGCAGAAACUCCCACAG